UAAGUUUGCAUUCGUAUUGGUUCGCCUGCGUUUUUCUGCUCAGGUGAUUAAAAGGGAAUCAGGUGCAAGUCCUGAACAGUCCCGCUGCUGUAAUUCUCGUUGAUUCCGGACAUUCAUGUCACUGGGAAAAUCGAAAGGCUCGUUUCGAUUAUGCUGGGAAGACGUCCGAAAGAGGAGAGAUAAGUCAGAAGACCUGCCGUACAUUUUCAGAAUAU
rnacentral:ncRNA from 2 species